rnacentral:lncRNA from 1 species
GGAGCCCGCCUAGGCCUUCGUCAGCAUCCAGAGAUGCUGGAGGCAGGGUGCUGUGGUCAGCUCCCGGUGUGCCAGUCAGACUGGCAGCGGUGCCUCCACCUGGUGUGUUUGACUGUCAGUGGCGAUGGUUUGGGCUUUCUGUCAUUUCCACUGUCUGUGAUGGCUCAGGAUGGGUAGUGAGAGUUCUGCGUUGGAGAUACUCUUAACAAAAACUCAGUCAUUUCUGUGUGUGAUUUUUAAAGCAGUACAUGCUUAUUUUAAGAAAAUUAAAGGAAUAUAUGACUUAGAACAAGAACCCUUAGUCACUGAUUUUGUGGUUCCUGAAAAUCAGCUCUUUAGAUCUGUUUCCAGGACAGGUAGACAUGAAAAUGAAAAGAUUCUAGGGUUGAUUUUAUUUUGUGAAGAAAGGUAGUUCUGUUUCCGUCUGUCCCCCGAUAGACCUUGGGGGCAGACACCACUGUAUCCUCUGAGACCCCAGAUUAGAACUGAGGACUUAGGAAAGGGGAGACGGGUCGGGGAGCUGGCUCUUGAGGUGCCUUGGUUUUUGAAAAAUCAAACCCUGGAAGUAGCUGGCCAGAGAGGACCUGGGGGUGGUGGGGCCCCGGCUGAAGCGAGAGAGCCCGCUGCCGCUCCUGGGGUCCCUGUGACAGGCGGGCCCUCACCCUUCCGGGCACUCAGGUUUCUGCCCGACAGACGGCGAGAGGACCAAGGGACGUGGGACGGUGAUUUUUAAAGCAUCUGGUAGUUGUUUCCCUUAGAUUUGGUUGAGGCCAGGUAAUGGUUAAGGCAGCAGGCUCUGAUGUUGGAGCUCUGAGUUCACCUUCUGGCUGGGCCACUGGCUAGCAGUGUAGCUUUGAGGGGUAUUUAACCUGAGCCUGUGUCCUCUUAAGAUGGGCGGAUGGCGCUUCCCUCAGGGCCCCUGCGUGAGGAGGGCGAGAGGCGUGUCUACAGCAGGCGUAGCAGUAGCUCUUAGCUUGUGGCCUGUCUCUGAGGGUUGUAAAUCCAGAAGGCAGGACCAAGAUUGUAUUCCUCACAGUCACACCGGGACGACGCAGAAACUGUCGGCAUCGGAAACCAUCUUACCCGGCGGCCCCCGGGCAGGUUUACCUCAACACCGUUCUUCCUGCUGCGGGUCCUGCUCAGGGCUCCGGAGAGGAAGGUCCCAGGGCUUCCACCGAUCACCCGCUCCUGGGAGUUUUUCAUAAACCCCACUAACUGCUUUUAAAAUUGUGUGACCAGCUCACCCAUGUAGGAAAUGACCCUGAAGUCCACCACCACGUAAUCACUGUUGAUGCUGUGAUGCUGUCUCGUCCAGUAUUUUUCUAAAAUGCACACGUGUGUGUGCUUUAUAAAACUGGUGUCCAACUGUGUGUAUGGUUUCUAUCCAGCUCUUUUCACUUAAUAUGUGAACUUCUGUAUCAUUAAAUAUUUUUGAGAAUGU